rnacentral:rRNA from 1 species
CAGGCUUAACACAUGCAAGUCGAGGGGCAGCAUGGUCUUAGCUUGCUAAGGCCGAUGGCGACCGGCGCACGGGUGAGUAACACGUAUCCAACCUGCCGUCUACUCUUGGACAGCCUUCUGAAAGGAAGAUUAAUACAAGAUGGCAUCAUGAGUCCACAUGUUCACAUGAUUAAAGGUAUUCCGGUAGACGAUGGGGAUGCGUUCCAUUAGAUAGUAGGCGGGGUAACGGCCCACCUAGUCUUCGAUGGAUAGGGGUUCUGAGAGGAAGGUCCCCCACAUUGGAACUGAGACACGGUCCAAACUCCUACGGGAGGCAGCAGUGAGGAAUAUUGGUCAAUGGGCGAGAGCCUGAACCAGCCAAGUAGCGUGAAGGAUGACCGCCCUAUGGGUUGUAAACUUCUUUUAUAAAGGAAUAAAGUCGGGUAUGCAUACCCGUUUGCAUGUACUUUAUGAAUAAGGAUCGGCUAACUCCGUGCCAGCAGCCGCGGUAAUACGGAGGAUCCGAGCGUUAUCCGGAUUUAUUGGGUUUAAAGGGAGCGUAGAUGGAUGUUUAAGUCAGUUGUGAAAGUUUGCGGCUCAACCGUAAAAUUGCAGUUGAUACUGGAUAUCUUGAGUGCAGUUGAGGCAGGCGGAAUUCGUGGUGUAGCGGUGAAAUGCUUAGAUAUCACGAAGAACUCCGAUUGCGAAGGCAGCCUGCUAAGCUGCAACUGACAUUGAGGCUCGAAAGUGUGGGUAUCAAACAGGAUUAGAUACCCUGGUAGUCCACACGGUAAACGAUGAAUACUCGCUGUUUGCGAUAUACUGCAAGCGGCCAAGCGAAAGCGUUAAGUAUUCCACCUGGGGAGUACGCCGGCAACGGUGAAACUCAAAGGAAUUGACGGGGGCCCGCACAAGCGGAGGAACAUGUGGUUUAAUUCGAUGAUACGCGAGGAACCUUACCCGGGCUUAAAUUGCAGAUGAAUUACGGUGAAAGCCGUAAGCCGCAAGGCAUCUGUGAAGGUGCUGCAUGGUUGUCGUCAGCUCGUGCCGUGAGGUGUCGGCUUAAGUGCCAUAACGAGCGCAACCCUUGUUGUCAGUUACUAACAGGUUCUGCUGAGGACUCUGACAAGACUGCCAUCGUAAGAUGUGAGGAAGGUGGGGAUGACGUCAAAUCAGCACGGCCCUUACGUCCGGGGCUACACACGUGUUACAAUGGGGGGUACAGAGGGCCGCUACCACGCGAGUGGAUGCCAAUCCCAAAAACCUCUCUCAGUUCGGACUGGAGUCUGCAACCCGACUCCACGAAGCUGGAUUCGCUAGUAAUCGCGCAUCAGCCACGGCGCGGUGAAUACGUUCCCGGGCCUUGUACACACCGCCCGUCAAGCCAUGGGAGCCGGGGGUGCCUGAAGUGCGUAACCGCGAGGAGCGCCCUAGGGUAAAACUGGUGACUGGGGC